CCUACGUGUGGCAGCAGUGAGGAAUAUUGGUCAAUGGACGAGAGUCUGAACCAGCCAAGUAGCGUGAAGGAAGAAGGCCCUCGGGUUGUAAACUUCUUUUAUUCGGGACGAAACAAAUGACGGUACCGAAUGACUAAGCCACGGCUAACUACGUGCCAGCAGCCGCGGUAAUAAGUAGGUGGCAAGCGUUCACCGGAUUUACUGGGUGUAAAGGGCGUGUAGGCGGGAGAGCAAGUCAGACGUGAAAUUCCAGGGCUCAACCCUGGAACUGCGUUUGAAACUGUUCUUCUUGCGAGAUGGAGAGGCAGGCGGAAUUCCGUGUGUAGCGGUGAAAUGCGUAGAUAUACGGAGGAACACCAGUGGCGAAGGCGGCCUGCUGGACAUUAACUGACGCUGAGGCGCGAAAGCGUGGGGAGCAAACAGGAUUAGAUACCCGGGUAGUC
rnacentral:rRNA from 1 species